AUGCCCUCCGGCGGCCUCCUCCUCGCCCUGCUCGUCGCGGCCGCCUUCGCCGCCGUCGCCAAUGCCGCCGUGUCCUACGACCACAGGGCCGUGGUGAUCAACGGGCAGCGCCGCAUCCUCAUGUCCGGCUCCAUCCACUACCCGCGCAGCACCCCGGAGAUGUGGCCGGACCUCAUCCAGAAGGCCAAGGACGGCGGCCUGGACGUGAUACAGACGUACGUCUUCUGGAACGGCCACGAGCCGGCGCGCGGGCAGUACCACUUCGCCGACCGCUACGACCUCGUCCGCUUCGUCAAGCUCGCCAAGCAGGCCGGCCUCUACGUCCACCUCCGCAUCGGCCCCUACGUCUGCGCCGAGUGGAACUUCGGUGGAUUCCCUGUUUGGCUCAAGUACGUGCCCGGCAUCAGCUUCCGGACGGACAACGGUCCCUUCAAGGCGGAGAUGCAGAGGUUCGUGGAGAAGAUCGUGUCGAUGAUGAAGUCGGAGGGCCUCUUCGAGUGGCAGGGCGGGCCCAUCAUCCUCGCCCAGGUGGAGAACGAGUACGGGCCCAUGGAGUCGGCCAUGGGCGCCGGCGCCAAGCCCUACGCCAACUGGGCCGCCAAGAUGGCCGUCGCCACCGACGCCGGCGUGCCCUGGGUCAUGUGCAAGCAGGACGACGCCCCUGACCCCGUGAUAAACUCCUGCAAUGGCUUCUACUGCGACUACUUCAGCCCCAACUCCAACAGCAAGCCUACCAUGUGGACCGAGGCCUGGACUGGAUGGUUCACGGCGUUCGGCGGCGCGGUGCCGCACCGGCCGGUGGAGGACAUGGCGUUCGCCGUGGCCAGGUUCGUUCAGAAGGGCGGCUCCUUCGUCAACUACUACAUGUACCAUGGAGGCACAAACUUCGACCGGACCGCCGGCGGCCCGUUCAUCGCGACGAGCUACGACUACGACGCGCCGAUCGACGAAUACGGUCUGAUCAGGCAGCCGAAAUGGGGUCACCUGAGGGACCUGCACAAGGCCAUCAAGCAGGCCGAGCCGGCGCUCGUCUCCGGCGAUCCCACCGUCCAGCGCAUCGGCAACUACGAGAAGGCGUACGUGUUCAAGUCGAGCACCGGAGCCUGCGCCGCGUUCCUGUCCAACUACCACACGAGCGCCGCCGCGAGGGUCGUGUACAACGGCCGGCGGUACGACCUCCCGGCCUGGUCCAUCAGCAUCCUGCCGGACUGCAAGACCGCCGUCUUCAACACCGCCACGGUGAAGGAGCCGUCGUUGCCGGCGAAGAUGAACCCGGCGGGGGGCUUGGCGUGGCAGUCGUACAGCGAGGACACCAACGCGCUGGACUCGAGCGCCUUCACCAAGGACGGCCUGGUGGAGCAGCUGAGCAUGACCUGGGACAAGUCCGACUACCUGUGGUACACCACCUACGUCAACAUCGACUCGAGCGAGCAGUUCCUCAAGUCCGGCCAGUGGCCGCAGCUCACCAUCAACUCCGCCGGCCACACGGUGCAGGUGUUCGUCAACGGCCAGUCCUUCGGCGUUGCCUAUGGCGGCUACAACAGCCCGAAGCUGACGUACAGCAAGCCCGUGAAGAUGUGGCAGGGCAGCAACAAGAUCUCCAUCCUCAGCUCCGCAAUGGGCCUCCCUAACCAAGGGACACAUUACGAGGCCUGGAACGUGGGCGUCCUCGGCCCGGUGACGCUGUCCGGGCUCAACCAGGGGAAGAGGGACCUCAGCAAUCAGAAGUGGACGUACCAGAUCGGCCUCAAAGGCGAGUCGCUCGGCGUCAACUCCAUCAGCGGCAGCUCCUCCGUCGAGUGGAGCAGCGCCACCGGCGCGCAGCCGCUCACAUGGCACAAGGCCUACUUCGCGGCGCCGGCGGGCAGCGCUCCGGUGGCGCUGGACAUGGGCAGCAUGGGGAAGGGACAGAUCUGGGUGAACGGGAACAACGCCGGCCGGUACUGGUCGUACAGGGCCUCCGGCAGCUGCGGCGCCUGCAGCUACGCCGGCACCUUCAGCGAGGCCAAGUGCCAGACCAACUGCGGCGACAUCUCGCAGCGGUGGUACCACGUGCCGCGGUCGUGGCUCAAGCCCAGCGGCAACCUGCUCGUCGUGCUCGAGGAGUUCGGCGGCGACCUGUCGGGCGUCACGCUCAUGACGAGGACGACAUGA
rnacentral:rRNA from 1 species